AUCCACAAAUCCCCGCCACACAAACAAUCUGACUCAGUCCGGCUCUGUCUGCCGUCGUGUCGAUUCGUCCGAAUUCGAACGGUUGCACUUUGAGGUUAUCGCAAUGAUGUGAACUUGAUUUUGCCACAAAUGUCGUCAAAUAACCGCCCAGAGGCCGGGGGCGAAGCCCCCAACACCACGGCCAGCGAAUCUACGCUCCUGAGCCCCUCAUCAACGUACUUCGCCGAUGAAAAAAUCCAAAUCCCGGAGACGGACACGUCACGUUUCAGUUUCCGAAAACUGUGGGCUUUCACAGGCCCUGGCUUCCUCAUGUCUAUCGCUUACCUUGACCCUGGAAACAUCGAGAGUGACCUCCAGAGUGGCACAGUGGCCCAAUAUAAACUUCUAUGGGUGUUGUUAAGUGCCACGAUGUUGGGGCUCCUGAUGCAAAGACUCUCCGCCCGCUUGGGGGUUGUCACAGGGCUACAUCUCGCCGAGAUGUGUUUCAGGCAAUAUCGGCGAAUCCCCCGUUUAAUUUUAUGGAUUAUGAUCGAGAUUGCAAUCAUUGGAUCCGACAUGCAAGAAGUAAUCGGGACAGCAAUCGCUAUUUAUUUAUUAUCGAACAAAACGAUUCCGCUCUGGGGCGGUGUUUUAAUCACGAUUGUGGACACUUUCACGUUCCUUUUCCUGGACAAGUACGGGCUGAGGAAACUGGAGAUGUUUUUCGGGCUCUUGAUUACAGUAAUGGGGCUCACGUUCGGUUUCGAGUACAUAACCUCAAAACCGGACCAAUUGCAAGUGCUAGAAGGGAUGUUCGUGCCCUGGUGUGAGGGUUGCGACUCCAGGGCGCUGCUCCAAGCUGUGGGGAUCGUAGGUGCUGUAAUUAUGCCUCACAAUUUGUAUUUGCACUCAGCGUUGGUUAAGUCGCGCGAUAUCGAUCGAACAAAACCGGAAAAGGUCCGUGACGCAAAUUUGUACUUUUUCGUCGAGGCGGCAAUUGCCCUUUUUGUCAGUUUCGUAAUAAACGUGUUCGUGGUUGCCGUUUUUGCGCAUGGACUUUUCCACAAAACGAACAAAGAAGUGCACACUUUGUGUACGAAAUAUCCGUCUGUGAACGCGUCAAUUUUUCCCAUUAAUGACGAUUACGUCGAGGCUGAUUUGUACAAAGGGGGGAUUUUUUUGGGGUGCACUUAUGGGCUCCUUGCGAUGUACAUUUGGGCGGUUGGUAUUCUGGCCGCUGGUCAAAGUUCGACCAUGACGGGGACCUAUGCUGGGCAAUUUACCAUGGAAGGGUUUUUAAACCUGCAAUGGGCGCGAUGGAAGAGAGUUUUGUUCACUCGUACCAUCGCAAUCGUGCCGACGUUUUGUCUUGCCUUCUUCAGUCACAUCGAGGAUUUGACAGGAAUGAACGACGUCCUCAACGCCAUCAUGAGCCUCCAAUUACCCUUCGCCACCAUCCCAACCAUCGCCUUCACCAGCAAUCCACAAAUCAUGGGCGAAUUCGUCAAUGGAUGGUUCAACAAAAUCGCAUCGAUCCUACUCAGCAUUUUGGUGAUCGGAAUCAACACAUAUUUUGUCGUUGAAACAAUGAACGAGCUACACCUCCACUGGUACGCUCUCGUUUUCGUCGUCAUAAUCGGAAUUUUCUACUUGAUCUUUUGCGCAUAUCUCGUAAUCCACAUGGCCAUAAGUAUGGGAAAUACAAAUCUUUUGCGCUACCAUCUAGUCAAGAAAUACAUUAUGGCCCCCAUCGAGUCACAAUUAUCCGUCAAUCCUGUCAGCUAUUCGAGAGAGCGCUUGAUUGAAACAACUUAAGGAAUUGCAGGGGAUGUGUAUCUUAAAGAAACGUGAUAAUGUACUAAUCAAUGACGUAAAAUUCUGAGUCGCAAUCAGACUGGACCUUGGACGGUAAUGCGACGGAAAUUGCGAGGUUUUGACGUCAAUUUUAGUAAAUUUGUAGUUUUUUUCAUGAUAUUUGUGUGAUAUUUGCGUUAUGUAAUGAAAUAUAUUUUAUUAGAAUUUUUCAA